rnacentral:lncRNA from 1 species
GUAAAGGUUGUCUCUGGAAACCCAAUUAGUGAAGAAAACCUCAAAUCACUUGCAACCAAGGACCCCAAAAUUAACCUUUUCUCCUUAAAAAUUCCCUUCCCUGCACACUCCCACAAGCAGAGUCAGUUCAUCAAUCUCUUUAUGUAAAUAGCAGUCAAGAAGCCAGGGAGGAGGUCUGUUUAUUAUUUUUGAUCCUGUUUUGCUUCUGGCAAAAUUUCACAAACACCAGAAGUUGGCAGAACAUUGAUACUUUUUUCUGACUGGCUACUGUUCACUAGCUACAAGUGCAGAAUACAACUGUAACUAUUCUGGUCUACGGGCCUCAGCUAUGACUGAGGACAGAACUGUAAAAUCUGGAAGAAAAAAAUCUCCACCCAAGACUUCUCUCUGAAAAUGUGGACCCUCCUUUAAUACACACUUUUCUCUCACUAGAGGAUGGCUGAGUUCCAGAUCCACUGUCUAGAGAACAACACAGGUCUUACCCAAUUCCCACCUCACUCCUUGUACUCCCUAGUGUCAGAAAAGGUCCACUGUGAAGUCACAAGAGGCCCUGAGCUCUGUGGGCCCCAGGUGCCCCGGGAAAACUUGGGGGAGAAUGGGCAUCCCACCCCAGCACUUUCUAGGAAGAAGGGCAGCAUUUUGAAGGGCUGGAAGUAGAGGAAGGAGGUUGCGGGUAGAAGACUCCAUACUUUCUGUGACGCCUAUUCCUUAGCUUGUGAUGAAUGUUUUCUCAGUAUCCUAUGCUGAAAACAGGUAGAUACUAAUAUCGAUCUUCAAGGGAGGGCUGUUGAGUAUUGAAUAAGACAAAAACAUGGAAGCAAUCAGCACCAUGCUGGAGAGCCUUUAUAUAACCAAAGAUAUUUUUGGACCAUGAAUUCAGAAAUUCUCGGAGCCACCCAUCAGUGCCUGAGCUUCAGUGAGUCCAUAUCCCAUGUCACCCACGGCAAAGGAGACUCUAAGACUUCUGAAGAGUUUCUUGCUUCUUUCCUGUGGGGCAGUGACUCCACUUCCCAGCAGUAAUGGAAUAUCCUGAAUUAGCUACAUUAAUGUUAGAACCAUUUGGACCUCACCCAGGACUUCAACUACAUUAUGCUAAAGUUACAGAACCCAAAUUUGGCAACUGUCUGCAUCUGAACAACAGAAGUUUCAACAUUCUGCCAACAGAGUAACUCCUGGACGAUUGGCACAGAAGAAGGCACAAGGCAAAUACCCAUCUCUGUACACCCUGUGCUACUGUGUCAUGUGCUGCUCCAGGCAACUCCAAUGGAUUGGCCACCCUGGCCAAUGUGUUCUAGUAUGUUACGUUUAUGUUCCCCUGCUUUCUACAAUCCUGUUCAAAGAGUUGCUGACUUAACCACAGAGAGGAUUCCAGAACCUGAGACACAGAAUAAACUUGAGCAAUCAUAGUCCAUCCACUUCAUUGUCUCAUCAAAAACCAAAGGUCCAGUGAAGCUCUGGAACUCAACGCUGUAAAGGAGCGAAGGAGCUUCUAUACAGAGCCUGGAUGCCUGUCUCCUUAUCCUACUUCAGUGGACUUGACUGCAAUCCGGAUUAUGCUGUUUUCUAAGCAUU